rnacentral:rRNA from 1 species
UCUGUUGUAAGGGAAGAACAAGUACAGUAGUAACUGGCUGUACCUUGACGGUACCUUAUUAGAAAGCCACGGCUAACUACGUGCCAGCAGCCGCGGUAAUACGUAGGUGGCAAGCGUUGUCCGGAAUUAUUGGGCGUAAAGCGCGCGCAGGCGGUCCUUUAAGUCUGAUGUGAAAGCCCACGGCUCAACCGUGGAGGGUCAUUGGAAACUGGGGGACUUGAGUGCAGAAGAGGAAAGUGGAAUUCCAAGUGUAGCGGUGAAAUGCGUAGAGAUUUGGAGGAACACCAGUGGCGAAGGCGACUUUCUGGUCUGUAACUGACGCUGAGGCGCGAAAGCGUGGGGAGCAAACAGGAUUAGAUACCCUGGUAGUCCACGCCGUAAACGAUGAGUGCUAAGUGUUAGG